rnacentral:rRNA from 1 species
CCCGCUCAGAAACUUAAAUGAAUUGACGGGGGCCCGCACAAGCGGUGGAGCAUGUGGUUUAAUUCGAUGAUACGCGAGGAACCUUACCUGGGCUCAAAUGUAUGUUGACGUAUUCUGAAAGGGAUACUUCUUCGGACAAUAUACAAGGUGCUGCAUGGUUGUCGUCAGCUCGUGCCGUGAGGUGUCGGGUUAAGUCCCAUAACGAGCGCAACCCCUAUCAUUAGUUGCCAUCAGGUCAAGCUGGGGACUCUAAAGGAACUGCCUACGCAAGUAGUGAGGAAGGCGGGGAUGACGUCAAAUCAGCACGGCCCUUACGUCCAGGGCUACACACGUGCUACAAUGGCCGAUACAGAGGGCAGCUACCUGGUGACAGGAUGCAAAUCUCCAAAGUCGGUCUCAGUUCGGAUCGGAGUCUGCAACCCGACUCCGUGAAGUUGGAUUCGCUAGUAAUCGCGCAUCAGCCAUGGCGCGGUGAAUACGUUCCCGGGCCUU